AUUGAACGCUGGCGGCGGGCCUAACACAUGCAAGUCGGACGGUAGCACAGAGGAGCUUGCUCCUCGGGUGACGAGUGGCGGACGGGUGAGUAAUGUCUGGGGAUCUGCCCGAUAGAGGGGGAUAACCACUGGAAACGGUGGCUAAUACCGCAUAACGUCGCAAGACCAAAGAGGGGGACCUUCGGGCCUCUCACUAUCGGAUGAACCCAGAUGGGAUUAGCUAGUAGGCGGGGUAAUGGCCCACCUAGGCGACGAUCCCUAGCAGGUCUGAGAGGAUGACCAGCCACACUGGAACUGGGACACGGUCCAGACUCCUACGGGAGGCAGCAGUGGGGAAUAUUGCACAAUGGGCGCAAGCCUGAUGCAGCCAUGCCGCGUGUAUGAAGAAGGCCUUCGGGUUGUAAAGUACUUUCAGCGGGGAGGAAGGCGAUAAGGUUAAUAACCUUGUCGAUUGACGUUACCCGCAGAAGAAGCACCGGCUAACUCCGUGCCAGCCGCCGCCGUAA
rnacentral:rRNA from 1 species